rnacentral:rRNA from 1 species
UACGUAGGGGGCAAGCGUUGUCCGGAUUUAUUGGGCGUAAAGAGCGUGUAGGCGGCCAUACAGGUCAGCUGUGAAAACUCGAGGCUCAACCUCGAGACGUCGGUUGAAACCGUAUGGCUAGAGUCCGGAAGAGGAGAGUGGAAUUCCCGGUGUAGCGGUGAAAUGCGCAGAUAUCGGGAAGAACACCCGUGGCGAAGGCGGCCUUCUGGACCAAUACUGACGCUCAUGCACGAAAGCGUGGGGAGCAAACAGG